UACGUAGGGUCCGAGCGUUAAUCGGAAUUACUGGGCGUAAAGGGCUCGUAGGCGGCCAACUAAGUCAGACGUGAAAUCCCUCGGCUUAACCGGGGAACUGCGUCUGAUACUGGAUGGCUUGAGUUUGGGAGAGGGAUGCGGAAUUCCAGGUGUAGCGGUGAAAUGCGUAGAUAUCUGGAGGAACACCGGUGGCGAAGGCGGCGUCCUGGACCAACACUGACGCUGAUGAGCGAAAGCCAGGGGAGCAAACGGG
rnacentral:rRNA from 1 species